rnacentral:rRNA from 1 species
GAAGUUGAAAAGAACUUUGAAGAGAGAGUUCAAAAGGGCGUGAAACCGCUUAGAAUAAAACGGAUGGAGCCGCCAGUGGCCCGUUGGAAUCAGUCGUAUGAUGCGUGAUGACGUCGCUUGGGCUAGAACGCAAGUCUGUCCAGCGCGUUUGUAUGUAAUAGCGUUCAUUCGAUGCAAUUCCAGCGGGUAUGCGCUGUGACCGAUGCUAUGCGCUAGCAACGCGUUUGGAUUGAGGGCGAAUCCCUUACGGGUUUUUCGUAACCAGUCCAUUCGUUAUAACUGCUAGAUGGACGAGCAUCGAGCGCUUGAGAGUAGAAACGUUGGCGAAUAAAAGCGCGCAGCUACAGCAGUGGAAACACGGUGGAUUGGUCGGCGCCUGCUUGCAGGUUCCGAUUCAACGUCCGUCCGUCGUUAGAAACUGCGGCUGACGCUGACAACGUUUUGGCGUCCACAGCGUCCGAGGCGGCCAACCAUCCGACCCGUCUUGAAACACGGACCAAGGAGUCUAACGUACGCGCAAGCUAAUAGGUGGAAAACCUAUAAGCGCAAUAAAAGUGAAAGCCGUCUUUAGACGGCGUUUGGUACGAUCCUAGGGUACACAACUACGACCCUAGGCGCAGUACUGACCCAUCCUGAUCGCUCGUCGAUAGGGUGGAGUUUGAGUGCAUACGUUGGGACCCGAAAGAUGGUGAACUAUGCCUGAGCAGAGCGAAGCCAGAGGAAACUCUGGUGGAGGUUCGUAGC